AAGACUAUACUUUCAGGGAUCAUUUCUAUAGUUUCUAACUUGAGAAAUGUGUUUCUAAAGUGUUUGGUCUCGCCAACCACGAUGAAGAGUCAGUGAUACUCCUUCCUGAGCGCGAAGCGGGCGCAGAGACUUGAUUCAGUUCUUAUGCUCUGUGCUUUUGAUGACCGUUCACUGUCUCCUCGGGGACACUGAGGGAAGGAGUAUGAUCAGAGUGGU
ensembl:snoRNA U3 Small nucleolar RNA U3